GAUGUUCAGGUGCAGGAUGAAAGUAUAUGCCAUUGCAACCAAUCAGAAUUGGUGGUUUCGAGAGUGCGGUCGGUGCAGUUGUGGAGCAGUUGAAGAGGGAGAUGCAUUUCGCUGCUUAGGCAAAGCAUUUUCGCCUUCGCUAUUUCAAGAUACAAGCUUCGUGUGAAGGCCGAGGAUGGUGAAGCAGUCGUCGACAUGGUCUUCUUUGGAGAUGUUGCCACCAAUCUGAUUGGCAAGCCCCCUGGUGAGCUCAUCAAUGAGUUUCUGGUGAGCAACGAGGUGUUGCCUUCGGAUAUCUCAAGGCUGGUUGGAAGGAGUUAUGUUGUAAACUUGGCGGUAUAUCACCUUUCUAUUUGCCGGGACACCAACAUCAGCGGUGCUCCAUUAAGCUGGGGAGCAAGGGGAGGCUUACAGCCUGAAGAUAUUCAAUUCAACAACAACUCGUUAAGGAGCUUUUCUCCCUUUUUGGUAUUUUACACUUUCUCCUUGGAACAUAACUUGCCUGCCAUUGAAUGGAUUUUGCAUUGAAAAAAUAUUGCGGCAAAAGAAAAUGGCCUUGCUUGGACAUCAAAAGAAGUAUUGUGCUGUAACCCACUACUGAACAUCUAAAUUUUCCCUAAGAACAGUUGGUUUUGUUUUAUUGUUCAUAGGGGCUACAAUAGUUACUAGGGAUUUGAAUACUUGGACAGAAAAUGGAAAUUUGGCAUGCCAACAAGUAUGGCCAAUGUAUCGGUGGGGAGUACAUUGCUGAAGGUGCAAUAGAAUCUACUUUGUCAUAUCUACAUAUAGAUGAAUAGGAGAAAAUAGAGCAACAAAUGGAUUUAAAUACCCACAAGGCUUGUUUUACAUCUGAAAACAACGAAAACAAGCUCUGUGUUGAAUAAUGGUACCAAGAAAACUGUAUAUUUUUCACAUCAGCUGUAUAUUUUUUUAUAGCAGAGUAGCAGUGAGCAAUACUGACUUUUGACCAAGUGCUGAUCAUUUUCAAUACUACACAUCAUAGUUUUCAGGACCAUUUCCUAAAAGAUACAUACGUAAAUUGUUUGCUUUUUUUUGGACGUUUACCUUUUUCUGCUCGUGAAAAGGUAUGUAUCCACAUUCAGAGAUGAGCACUUCAAUUUGGCACACACUAAAGUUGUUGUGAUUGUAGAACCGGUAGCUCUUCAGUUGUAUUCAUUCAGCAGGCACAUUCUGAUUGUCAUAAUUUUCUAAAGGAAAGGCAACAUUUUUAAAAACAAAGGUUUGUUUCGUUCAAGUAUACAACCAUGACUUAAAAAUCUGUUUAGACGUUGAGAAUCUGUCAUUUAUGAAAACAUUAGUUAGAUUUGGUUCCCAAUUAGUUGAAUGCUUUUUCUAAUUAACCUGAAAGCAAUUAUCCAAGAGAAAAUUGUAGACUUAUAUAUUUCAUGUUCAUCAUUCCAUUCAUCACAGCAGCCUCGCCAACUCAUUCCAUGUUAAUUAGUAUUUAGGGAAUCACACACUUAUCAUAUGUUGUCUCCAGCCGAUGUUGAACCACAAGGAGUUCUCUUAGCAAUAAAGUCUUGAUGCAACCCAUAUCAAGACUUUGUCUGAUUCUCUCUGAUAAUAUUUUUGUUGUACAAGGUAUCAACUCUGAAGAUAUGAUGAUUCUGUCCAUUGAGUGGCAGAUCAGACCCACAAUGUUUUUGCUCAUAAAAGUAGGCCAUUUGACAUCUCAAUACAAGAGACUCGCUAGAAGAAACGACCCAACAAUCUUUUGGAUAGAAUUUGUGAAGUUUACAAAGAACUUUAGAGCGAGUGGUGCUUUUCCUCAUGGCUGUUCUAUAAAUGAAGUUGUCUCAAGAUCCUGGGUUGUUUCUACUAUUACCUUGACUUUUUAUUUUGAUGGAAUCUCUGUAUUGAAAGUCAUAAUUUCUUUUUCAUAUAAGUUCAGCAAAGUCAUGAAGUGUUAGUUUUCUUUUGGCAUGCCUUAUAGCAGGGCAUGAUCGCUGAAUAACAGAGGUUGUUGUAUCAGCCAAAUUCACAGGUCUUGAAAUUGGAAAGUAAUUAAACUACGGUAUGAAAUUUAGGUCUUGAAAUUUGAGAGUAUAAAAGAUGGUAGCAAGAACGGCGUGGCAAG